CAGCAGUGCUGUCGCCGAUUCCGUCAGCGGUGCAGCCACCGGCUUCGUGAUUACAAUUUCCGGCGAAGCCUUCAACUGGAGAUUUUGCAGCCAUGUCUGAAAUGAGCAUGGUCUCAGCUUCUACCGGGCAGCCUGAAAACGAGGAAGACGAAGAGAACCGGAAAGUGUCGUUCGUAGUCUGCUGCAACCUGAUCCUCUUCAUCAUCAUGAUCAUACUGCUCAUGCUGCUGUUCAUGCAAUACUCGUCAUCUCUAGAGGCAAGCG
rnacentral:lncRNA from 1 species